rnacentral:rRNA from 1 species
UUGUCUCAAAGAUUAAGCCAUGCAUGUCUCAGUACAAGCCGCAUUAAGGUGAAACCGCGAAAGGCUCAUUAAAUCAGUUAUGGUUCCUUAGAUCGUACCCACAUUUACUUGGAUAACUGUGGUAAUUCUAGAGCUAAUACAUGCAAACAGAGCUCCGACCGGAGACGGGAGGAGUGCUUUUAUUAGAUCAAAACCAAUCGGCGGCGGGCGCGUCCGCGCGCCCGUUCGCCGCUCAACCUGGUGACUCUGAAUAACUUUGUGCUGAUCGCACGGUCUCGCACCGGCGACGCAUCUUUCAAAUGUCUGCCUUAUCAACUGUCGAUGGUAGGUUCUGCGCCUACCAUGGUCGUAACGGGUAACGGGGAAUCAGGGUUCGAUUCCGGAGAGGGAGCCUGAGAAACGGCUACCACAUCCAAGGAAGGCAGCAGGCGCGCAAAUUACCCACUCCCGGCACGGGGAGGUAGUGACGAAAAAUAACGAUACGGGACUCAUCCGAGGCCCCGUAAUCGGAAUGAGUACACUUUAAAUCCUUUAACGAUGAUCAAUUGGAGGGCAAGCCUGGUGCCAGCAGCCGCGGUAAUUCCAGUCCAA